GGAAUAUUGGACAAUGGGCGAAAGCCUGAUCCAGCAAUGCCGCGUGAGUGAUGAAGGCCUUAGGGUUGUCAAGCUCUUUUACCAGGGAUGAUAAUGACAGUACCUGGAGAAUAAGCUCCGGCUAACUCCGUGCCAGCAGCCGCGGUAAUACGGAGGGAGCUAGCGUUGUUCGGAAUUACUGGGCGUAAAGGGCACGUAGGCUGGCUGUUAAGUCGGGGGUGAAAUCCUGAGGCUCAACCUCAGAAUUGCCUCCGAUACUGGCGGUCUUGAGUGCGGGAGAGGUGAGUGGAAUUCCCAGUGUAGAGGUGAAAUUCGUAGAUAUUGGGAAGAACACCAGUGGCGAAGGCGGCUCACUGGCCCGCAACUGACGCUGAGGUGCGAAAGCGUGGGGAGCAAAC
rnacentral:rRNA from 1 species